rnacentral:lncRNA from 1 species
AAACAGAGUCUCACCACGUGGCCCACACUGGCGUGGAAUGCAUGGAUGCUCUUGUUUCUGCCUUUUCAUGUGCUAGGAGUGAGUCAGUUCUCAGCCCGACACCCUAGGCGAGUGCUCUAACUGAGCUGUCUCCAGCCGGUCUCUGGGAUCGCAGACGUGGAUCAUCACCACUCCAAGCCUUUUGUCCACACUGGUGAUUUUUUUUUGGUUUACUGAAAAAAUUGUUGCCCAUGACUUUCCCCUUGCAGCAAUCCUAAAUUAUGAAAACUGAGUGUAGGUGCCAUCCCGCCCCUCCUGGGUAUGUCACAAGCACAGCUCAGCAUUUACAGAUGAGGUUUAGAGGUUCUUACACUCUCUGUGGCUCUUCACGAUUGCACUCUGUUCUUCUCUGGCCAGAGUGGUGCUUGGCCUGGUUGGUGUUUACUAUAUGCUGGUUUCCCUAGCAUAUGUUUAUUGUAUGUUAGACGACGUGAUAAGUGAGUGGAGGGGGAAGGCAUCGGAGUGGUUGGUUACUAACAUAAUAAAGAAGCCUGAGUGACAAGGUGGAAGGAGCCAGCUACUGUUGGGCAUGUUGCCUGAUUGAAUGGUGAGGAGUCCAUGGAUGUGUGGGUUGAAUGUAGAGAGCCAGCUGCUUUUUGGAUGGAGGGAAUUAGACUCAGAUCCUUCUCUCUUCCCCUCCCUAUGUUCAUAACUUUCUGUUCCCUAAGGCCCUUGGGAAAGCCAGGUGAGUGUUGAUAGAGCUGUAAGAGCCACCAUCACCUUCUCUGCUCCCAGCUCCUACUCAACCCUGAUGGCAGGUCGACCUUGAGACCCUUGAGAGUAGCCCUGCCUGGGGGAGUUGCACUGGUCACUGUGAGAGCAGGCUGGGUCUCUGUCUCUCACAGACCUCAAAAUAGACGAGAAGAGCUCAUGUACCCUACCCGAGGGUG